AAGUCGUAACAAGGUUUCCGUAGGUGAACCUGCGGAAGGAUCAUUUCCAAAUUUACCUCAUUUUUUUGUGUUGAACGUUUUGUGACGAAUUGUUGUUUUGCAUAAAAAUGACAAUUCGUGACGAACAAGAUGCACAAAAAAAUACAAAACAAACAAACACCAAUUUUAUUCUAAAAGACUCAAGUCUAACAUACUUUGCAUUUUUUUUACACAAAAAAUGAUAACAAAAUACAACUUUUAUCAACGGAUCUCUUGGCUCUC
rnacentral:misc_RNA from 1 species